AAUACAAUAAAACUCCCAGCAGGAGCUCAAGUGUUUAUUUACUGCAAAAAAGGUACACAUAAACAACCUUAAUGGGAAUCACACUGUCCACACAAAAUGAUAUAAAUGUAUAGAUUGUGUGGGUUGAUCAGCUGUCGCUCUCAAAUGCAGUAUAAAUUACUCACUUGUAGAUGUGAUCACCACAGAUAUUCUCAGCAUCGGUGAUUUUAAGCUCUGUAUCACAGGCUGUAUCAUUUUCUUCCUUGCAGAUUAGCUUCUGAGAGGAUCUUUGCUGUUUUCACUGAGUAUUCUCACGAUAAGAUUUCAAGAGAUGAAGCGAUCAACAAAAUUCGACUAGAGACAGAAGAUGACCUUAAAGAAAAAUUCCCUCAGGCUGA